AGAGUUGAUCAUGGCUCAGGAGUGAACGCUAGCGACAGGCUAACACAUGCAAGUCGAGGGCAGCAUAAAAGUAGCAAUACUUGGUGGCGACCGGCGCACGGGUGAGUAACGCGUAUGCAACCUACCUAUCAGAGGGGAAUAACCCGGCGAAAGUCGGACUAAUACCGCAUAAAACAGGGGCACCGCAUGGUGAUAUUUGUUAAAGAAAUUCGCUGAUAGAUGGGCAUGCGUUCCAUUAGGUAGUUGGUGAGGUAACGGCUCACCAAGCCGACGAUGGAUAGGGGAACUGAGAGGUUGGUCCCCCACACUGGUACUGAGACACGGACCAGACUCCUACGGGAGGCAGCAGUGAGGAAUAUUGGUCAAUGGGCGAGAGCCUGAACCAGCCAAGUCGCGUGAAGGAAGAAGGAUCUAUGGUUCGUAAACUUCUUUUGCAGGGGAAUAAAGUGCAGGACGUGUCCUGUUUUGUAUGUACCCUGAGAAUAAGGAUCGGCUAACUCCGUGCCAGCCGCAGC
rnacentral:rRNA from 1 species